rnacentral:rRNA from 1 species
UACGUAGGGUGCAAGCGUUGUCCGGAAUUAUUGGGCGUAAAGAGCUCGUAGGCGGUCUGUCGCGUCUGCUGUGAAAACCCGGGGCUCAACCCCGGGCUUGCAGUGGAUACGGGCAGACUAGAGUUCGGUAGGGGAGACUGGAAUUCCUGGUGCAGCGGUGAAAUGCGCAGAUAUCAGGAGGAACACCGGUGGCGAAGGCGGGUCUCUGGGCCGAUACUGACGCUGAGGAGCGAAAGCGUGGGGAGCGAACAGG